AUCAUAUUCCAGAACAUAUUUUUUUCAAAUUUUUAAUUAAAUCAUCCAAAUUUUUCUUGGAAGCAGGGAAAAUGAACGAAGACUCUCUCUUUCCAGGUCAGCUUCAUAUGUUUUAGGACUCCAUGGACAUAUUCCUCCUUGUGCUGGACACUCCUGUUCAAGAAAUUGGAUAAUCUUUCCAGUGAAGUACAGCAGAAGAAUCACUCUGUUACUCUGGUUUGGGACGUCUCACAGUUUUUGUUACCCUGUCAAUGGUGUGUACUGCUGACAUGACAGAAACGUUUAUCUAUCUGCAAGAUAUGUUUGCCAGAGGGAGUUUGUAAAAGAAUGAACUUAAACGUCCAGAACUGCCUGAACCUCCCUUCCUGCCCCAUCGCAGCAUAAAAAGAAGAUUUUGUCAAGGUCAAGCAGUCCAUUAAGCAAUUCACAGGCACGAGCCUACAUCCUUCAGGCUUGAAGCUGGAGACUGCGUGUGCCUCCAUUACUUACACAUGCCCCACAGCAGGAUAAUUGGGACCUCAUUAAUGCUCCUUAGGAGAAUGACUUGCACGCUGGAACCACUCCAAAAAAUCAGGAUUCCUAAUUAAUAACCUCAGUCAGCGAUAGCUGUCCCAUACGAGUGCUCAGAGUCAGAUUCUAAGUACAGUGAAGCGACUGACUAUGCCUUUUUCCAGCUUAAAUCCACAGACAUUUGUGAAACAGUCACAUAAGCACAAUAAAUUUUGACCCUAAUUGAAAAUGUGAUACA
ensembl:lncRNA